rnacentral:lncRNA from 1 species
GGCACACAACGACCUAUGCUCGAUAAACGUUGUCGUCCUUGGUAACAACGUAUCAUUUGGUCACGAACAUGUUUAAGGACUAAGCGACAAAUCCUCCUUUGUCGAGUCUAAAUAGUCCUAAGGACUUCACCACAACACAGGAGUUCAUUAGAAGAUGAAACAUUUGUGAUGAAAAAAUACCAAAAUAAUUUUUAUUUAUUUAU